ensembl:lncRNA
CGGGGAAGAGAGAUCGAAAAGACGGGUGCAUAAUCGUUGAAGUGGAAGAGGAGAGAGGUGUGGAAGAGGGAAUAGGUGCCAAGGGCAGGGAGGAGGGUAUUAAAGGAGCAGAAGGCAGGCUGGGUGAAGAUGAAGAUGAGAAUGGAGAACAGGAGUGGAGCAAAGUAUUAGAGCAAAGGGGACCAGUGAGGAGGGGAACGAAGAAUCUCAGAAGAUGACUGGGCGGUUGGAAAAAGAAGGAGCGGAGGAAAGGAGAGGGUGAUGGAGAAAAGGCUAAGGAAAGGAAAGGAGAAGAGAAGAGAAAGCAGUAGCAGCAGGAAUUGAGCACUGUAGCGGAGCAGGCGACGAAGGCUGCAGUGCAGGCGCUCCAGUUCAUGUCCAGUUUCCUGUUUCUGUCUGCAUCACUGCUCCUUCUCUUUUUCUGAUGCACAAGAUGGCGCACCAGCGAUGCAGGGAAGACGCACCGGAUUCGCAGGGCUCCUUCAACAAAGUGGAGUGAACUGCCCUAUACUGCACUGUAUCAUACACCAGGAGGCCCUCUGUGCCAAGACACUGAACUAACCAUGUUAUGGACUAAAGUAACAAAUCUCAUCCGAGGAGGGAAGAGAUCCCUCAGUCACACGAGAUUUAUAGCCUUUUUGGAUGAAGUGGACGCCGCAUAUGGGGAUUUACAAAUGCACACCGAGGUCUGAUGAAUGAGUCGGGGGAAGUGUCUUGAGCGAUUUUUUUUGCGCUGUGCUCCGAAAUUCCAGUGUGUUUGGAAGACAGCGUUCGUGGUGAUAUGAGUGCUUACUGCAGGAAACUCAAAGACACAACGUUUCUGUGCAACAUGGCAUUCCUUACUGACAUUACCGUACACCUCAAUGACCUGAACACAAAGAUGCAUGGGAGACACCAAACUGUGUGUGACCUGUGUGCACACAUCAACGCAUUUCAGCGCAAAUUAGACCUGUUCAAAGAGGGAUUUUCAUCCCAUCUUCCGAAUUUGACACACUUUCCUGCUUAUGAGGAGAUGCGAAAAAGUGUCCCAGAGUGCGAAGGCUUACUUCACAAAUAUAAGACAGAUAUCGAGAAAAUGCAGGAGCAGUUCAAGCAUCGUUUCCAAGAUUUUCAUGCAAUCCAGCCACAGAUAGCGCUCUUAGUGGACCCCCUCUCCCGUGCUGUCAGCAAGCAACCUUCUGAAUAGCAGCUUGAACUUUGCGACCUGCAGUGUGAUCCAUUUUUUCAGGCGAGGCACAAUGAGAAGCGAAUUCCGUUUUGGAGUCUGCUGCCUGAAUGCCCGCUGCGAGAUUUUUCUCUCAAGGUCCUGUAUGUUUGGGAGCACAUUUGUGAGAACAGUUUUUUGACAAUGAAGCACAUCAAGUCAAAAGAGAGAAACAGGCCCACGAAUGACACUUUUUUUAUCUGAUGCGAAUUGGAUGCAAAAAGAUUGACAUUGACAUCCACUCUAUUGUGCGCCAACAGGCAAAGCCACAAGUUUAUCAUUAAAGGAGAACCAGGGGUGAGGUAGAGGAGGUGUGCAGGGAAAAUGUUAAAAUAUUUUUAAAAAAGAGUUGGAUUUUUAUGUAUGACAGCACUUUGCACCAAAAAAAAAAAUCACAUAUCUGGUUAUUUGUUUGCUUCAAAGCUUGUGUUGUUUAAGAAGAUCUGUUAUACAUGCAUUUGAGCAUGAAAUAUCUUAAGAUGCAGUGACUAUUGCCUGGGUUGUUUCGAACAGUGAGCUGAACACAGAACAAAGAGUUUUCAUAUUCAAUGUAUGGCGACAAGUCACCAUUUUGGGGUGUUUUGAGUGUUACGUCCCCCAGCUUGCAGUGUGUGUCUCCUGAUUACAGAUGAGCCACACCUGAGCGGAGCCUGUGUUUGCGCUACAGAGUUGCUACAAUACAGUCAGUCAGGCGCGCGCCCGCAAAGCAGACAGUCGCGCCGCCGUUUUCUUUUUUUGAAUAUUAAUUCUCAC